GAGUGCUAGUCCCGACUCCAUGCCUUAAUUUAGAUUUGAUAUUACUGUGUGGUAUUCUAUCACGCAGUUAGAGAUGUGGAACUCGGCCUCGCCAUUUAGAAAAGUCUAAACAGAAUCAUUACGGCACAGUAUGCUGUGAUUUGUGAUGCCACAUUCAGGAAAACGUUCAUUUAUAGGACCCGUCGGUGCGACUUGUAGGACUACGUUGUAGUGUUAACAAUAUUACAUUUAGUGUUUCAUUAGUACCAGAACUACAGAUAUUGUCUAACUUAAUUUAUGCUUAAGUUCAGAUCACCUGAGAUCACACGAAGUAACUGAAUCAAUAAUCAUUUAUUCGCGUGGCGAACAGUUAGAGAGCAGAGAAAAUAAUGCGUUGACUGUUUAGCUUGUCUUACUCGUAUCGGCGCAAAUCUUUGAUCACCGCUGCAGAACGUCAAGCGUACGGUUACGUACCUAACGCACCACGGCUGGUCGGCAGUUUACCCGAUGAGCUCCUCGGUCACUUGUCAUGGGCAAUUGCGUCGAGGGAUACGAUGCCACGCGCGAUGUCUUUUUUCAUCGCAGUUUUAUAAUCAGAGGCUUCACCAAAAGAUGCAUGAAGACAGUUUCGGCCGCAUGAACGAUAAAACGGCCUCAUCGUUUGCCCCUCGUAACAGGUCCCAGCUUGUUCGACCCCAAGGUAACUCCAAUCGCAACGUAUGGCGUACGCGUCAUUUAGAAAGAUCUAGCAUUGCAGAACAUCAAGAAAUGAAAUCACAUCAAAGCUUCCUGCCUUAAAGGAACAGUGGGACUCCGCACGGUAAUCCGAGAUCGUUUCGCGUAUCUUCUAGCCGACCAGUCACUGCUGUGUGAGAAUUCUUGUGUUCCUAUUGAGCUCUCAGCGAUGGAAGCUUCCAAAAUGAACCUCAAAAAAUGGGAGCAAAAGUUCGCGGACACUUUUUUUUUUGCUUCGGAAGCAAUAAGGAACUACAAGCUAAAGCUAUGAGGAGUUUACUGGACUUCGCAGGAAACUGGGUUUCUAUGAACCUGACGAUAUGUGUAGAUGCUCCACACGGAAGGAGAAAAUUUGACAGAUAUGCCGCUCAUUGCCUCCGGUACCAUCCCUAGAACACCUUGCAAAUCUCUCAAAUUAGUGUUAUAAACUUCUCACGCAUUUCAAUGGCUUCAUUUGCUCUGAUGUUUAAUAAGUGUGUUGUUGACAAGUUUUAACUUGUAAAGGCAAAUAAAUAAAAUUUAAUUUGAUUGA